rnacentral:siRNA from 1 species
UUGGCGCUAUCCAUCCUGAGUUCC